UAUCAGUUUAAUAUCUGCUACGUCCUUUAUCGGAGGACAAUAUAUUAAGUGGAUUUUUGGAACAGGGAGAUGGAAUAGGAGCUUGAUCUCUCUAAUCCAGGCAUUGACCUGGUAUUGCAGUACCUCCAGGAGCAGUGC
rnacentral:snRNA from 1 species